rnacentral:misc_RNA from 1 species
UUUCCGUAGGUGAACCUGCGGAAGGAUCAUUAAAAAAAGAGAAACGUCCCGUUCUUUUUCAUAAGAAUGGGUUCUAUUCCCUUAAACCGUGUCUACAUACCUUUGUUGCUUUGGCACGCCGCCUUCGGGCGUCGGCUCCGGCUGAUAGUGCCUGCCAGAGGACCCAAACUCUAUGUUUAGUGAUGUCUGAGUACUAUAUAAUAUUUAAAACUUUCAACAACGGAUCUCUUGGUUCUG